UUCAGCAUCAGUUGAGCAAGCACUCUCCAACGCCCCAUUUUUUCGCGUGAAGCCGAACGAAGCAGAAGUUUUUGCAAUCUUUCCGUGUUUAAAUUAAGAACUACUCUAAAAAAUGUCCAAGAUAAAUUUAAGCAGCGAGUGCAAAGAGAAAGUUAUUGCACAAUUCUGGAAACGGAUGGAAGAGGUGAUCGGCUUGGUGCCUGAAAAUGUGAAAAACAUCGUCAAUCUCCUUGAACUCACGGCUACCAGUUGGCUUGGCGACAUGACCACUAUGGAUGAAAUUAUGUCCCUCGAAGGCGACAUACGGCGCAGCGGUAAAUGGCGUUUGCUGCGACACCAUCCACGGGGCAACGCAGUGGAUUAUUUUGAACAAUAUUUUGAUGAACUGGACCAGUUCAAAUUUAUGCGGGUGGAGAUAAAGUGCAUCGCAGCGAUAGCUGGCGCUGUAAAGCGGUACGGUGUUCACUACUUCACUGAGGUGACUACACUGAACCAAAACAUCCUCCUUUAAUCGACUGAACUGUAAUAUGCACAAGCAUCAAAACGUCUCCUCCGAAUAUCGUAUGCAGAAAUAAUGUGACUGUUACUUCCUCGAGUACCCGUAUCCGAAUCAUCCAGAAAGUGGAUGAUGCUCAGAACACUAUCAUAUGACAUAACAUCCCGUUUUUGGAGCACUCGACAUACCAACAAAAAACCAGUCGAACACAGAAUGAUGCUUGCUUCGCUCACGCCCCAAAACAAUAAUCAGUCGGUUUUGAAUUGUGUUCCCGAUGGUCGGCAACUCGCAGCUAGGAUCUCGUGAGACGCAAUAAGGCCAUCAUUUAAAUAUUUUCCGAGUUAGUAUUUUACGAGCUAGUUCAUGAAGUUUUUGAACAUUUCUACUCGCAAUUCUGGAGAUAAUUAGCGUGGCAAAUCUUUUAUUUUAAAGUGGUUGCCAAAAUUUAGAGAAUGACAAUUUUCAUCUUCCUGUCCAUUGCAUCCAGCACAGUCCGCCAGUUUCCAGAGCAAGCUUCAGAGGAUUCUAUCGUCGCCAUCGGAAGCAGUUGUCGCUGACGCACAUAUUUAAGCAGUUUUCGGACAAAUUUAAUUUGCAAAUGAGAAAAAACAAAUGUUUUAAUAAAUGUGGUUACGUUACUACAAUAAAAUUUAUAUUUUAGUUUUAUGAAAUUUCGUCAAUUCGCAUGGAACAGCAUUCAGGCAAAUUUU